AGUCUGCAUUGCUGAUAAGGGCAGGUACUAGUAACAAAGGAGGGUUAAGUGCUCCUUAUACAAAUUCAGAGGCAUAACAAAGACAUAUGCCCAAUGGAUAAACAUUCAUUGACUCGCGGAGAUGAGCCCCAAGAAGAGGUAAUCAUUCUUUCUACUAUAUUCCCUUAACACUUGGUCUAUCUCAAAUUUUGUAUGUGCAACCCAGAUGUAUGUAGCUCUAUUGCUGGCUAUGAGCCUUCUUAUUUUGUAGCCCCAGACCAUGUUAUUUUUCAUAUAACAGACUUAUGUAUGUUUUUAGAAAUAGCUAGGAAAAAACAUUCCAUUGAACAAUGGGUGGUGGUUGCUUAGGUAAUAAUUGGAAGGACAGCUUUUCACAAAGAAAAGAGCUUACUUCAUCUUUUUUUUCCCCCCAGGAGUAAUUACUCGAAAUAAGCAUUAUUUGAAGUCUUACUGAUUGAAGACUGGAGUAGUAGAUGCAAUGCUCUGGGCACUAGAGGAGGAAAGCUCCCGGGAGGGAGGAGGUAGUUUCCCUGGAGGAGCCUGCGACUCAGUCGGGGAGGAGGGCUGGGGGAGGAAAACAUAUCUCAGAAAGGAAAGCAGAACAUUUGCAAACACUUAAAAAAAAAAAAAAAAAAAAAAAGGGGGGGGGGGGGGGGGGAGGGGGCUGUGUUGAAUUCUGCAUUGAGUAGACAAAGAUAAAAUUUAAUUAUAAUGCUUUUGUAUCUAAUCCAUGUUUGAUAAAAGGAUUAAGGUCUAUGACUUAUUUUAUAAUUGGAGGGGUUAAUAAAUAAAAAGAAUUGGCAAAUGAGAUACCUGAUGUGAAAUCUUAAGAUGUACCUGUGAAAUAUAUUCUUCAUCAUUUUUUUAAAGUUUAUUUAUUUACUGAGAGAGAGAGAGAGAGAGAGAACAAAAGAACAGGCAGGGGAGGGGCAAAGAGAGAGAGAGAGAGAGGAUCCCAAGCAGGCUUUGUACUGUCAACACAGAGUCUGAUGCAGGGCUCAAUCUUGCAAACUGUAAGAUUAUGACUUGAGCUGAAAUCAAGAGUAGGAUACUUAACUGACUGAGCCAUCCAGGUGCCCCUCUUCUAUAUCAUUUAUAAUCAAGCUACAUCUUUUGCUUUGUUGGUUUAGAGUCGAAACACAGAAACACGAUUUGCUAAUUGUUCCUUUCUGCUAUAGACACUAAGGAGGUAUGCCCAUUUUAUUUGGGGUUUAGUAACAAAUGGAAAAUAGCAUCAUACAAAUCACAUACUUAGUUGCAAGAACAACAGGAAAAGGAAGAUGAACAAGACAUGUGGGGAGAACAAAAUGCUUAUUUAUUGUCACAGAAAGUUAAAGAAUUAAGAGGUGGGAUGUCAGCUGGGGAGCAUGAAAUUUUAGGCAAAGAAGUUCAGAUUUCCUACGCUAAGAAACAAAGUGAUGGUGCUUUAAAAUUUUUUUUCAUUGUUGGUUAUAAAAGUUUUUGAUAAUAAUAACUGUCUUCAAGGUUUACAUCUAUUCACUUAAACAUUAUGGCACUAUGGGGGAUCAAAAAUAAAUAAGAAAUAAUCCUUGCUCCUCCAUGACUCAUGGUCUACUAGAGAAGAAGUGAUGUUUAUAUAAAAAGCUGUAAUAGAAGGUAGACGGUUUUAAAUCCCAUGGCAGAAAAGCAGAUCAAGUUCCAGGGAUUCUGAUAUGAAGGAUUAUCUCCAGCUGUGAGGCAUCAAGAAAGGCUUCAUAGAGGAGGUGACUUGUGAGCUGAACACUAACAGAUCAGUAGCACUUCAAUAUAGGGAGAUGGAAAGACCAACAUCCUAGGAAGGAGAAACAGUGUAGCUAAAAUGUUGGUGGCAGAAAAGAGAGGUGUGUGUAUAGAGAAUAAAAAACAAUCCAGUUUUUCUGGUUCAUAAGAGCUCAUUUAGUAGAAAAAAAAAAAAGGUUGAAAACAUGAGUUGAGGUCAGAUUCUAGAGAGUCUGUCAGUUUUGAAUGAAGGCAGUUGAACUUUAUUUGGCAGAAAAUGAGGAGCUAUGGAUGGUAUUUUUGGGUACUUGAUAGAAGCCGAACAUAUGUUUUUCAAGUGGAACAGGUAUCAGAUGAUGGGAACUCUGCACACUCUGAAGUGCCUAACAUAGUGUUAGCAUGUAACAAACGUACAAUAUUUUAAAAUCGUCUAUAAGGGAAGCCGUCUAAGAAAGUUAUUGAGAAUGUCCAGCGUCUUAGAGGGAGCCAACGAGGGCUGGACCAGAUGCGGUCUGUUGGCACUCGGUAUUCCCAUCCACCCCUGUUCUGCACACUCUUACAUCACAGGGCUGGACGGCUAACAAGUGCACUUCUCAGGCUUCCUUCUGCUAGGGUUUGAAAUGCCUCGUGUGAGAUGUUGAAGGCGAAACGCAAGUGGAGGCCAUUUUUAUUUUUACAGCAGUCGUGGGUUCUGGCAGAAAUGAGUUUUCGCCGUGGACAGACUUCCGAUCCCACUGUCUAGUGACCAGCUUCAUGAACGUGGGGCAACUGUGAAAUCGGGAACAGUUCCUUGGUCUCAGGGUGUUGACAGUGACCUCCUAACCUCUGGUUCACAGCUACCUGGUUAGAACCUCCAAACCUAGCAGCAGCAUGAUCCUUCCACCUACCGGGGCCUCCUCCCUUGCAUUUCUACGGCUCUUCCAAUGAUUUUGUAGCAGCCAAUUCCAUGUGUCAAAGUCCUUUCGAAUUGACCUAAAAUGGACCUAAAAUGGGUCCUGUUUCCUGCAAUGAAACGGACAGGAGCAAGACGCAAGGAAACUUGCAUAGUAGAGGAAAAUAGCCAUUCAAGGACAACUCAUUAUGGGAUGGAAGAAAAGAAACUCAAGUCAGGGGCACCUGGGUGGCUCAGUCAGUUAAGCGUCUGACUCCUGAUUUUAGCUCAGGGAAUGAUCUCACAGUUCAUGAGAUCAAGCCCCACAUUGGGCUCUGUGCUGACGGCACACAGCCUGCUUAGGAUUCUCUCUCUCCCUUUCUGCCCCUUCCCCACUCGUGCUCUUGCUCGCUCUCUCAAAAUAAAUUAAAAACAUUAAAAUAAAUCUUAAAAAAAAUAAAGAAAUUCAAGUCAGAGAUCCUCUUGCACUACAGAGGGCAUCGAUGUGCCUUCCAGUCUCUGAGGGCAGGUCUUUGUUCUCAGUCCUCUCUUACAAAUGUCUCAAAAACACGCACUUUUCCCCAAUUACAAAAAUAAUGUAUGUUCGUUGUAAAACAAACUUGGGAAAUAUGGAAACUUAUAAAGAAAGAACUAAAAACCACCUGUAAUUACACUAGAGCUAUUUCUCGACUCUAUAGGGAUGAGGUUCAGCUAUGACCCUAUAGCCGUAGCUUAAGUAAAGUAGACAUAUAUGUCUUUCUCACAGAAACAAAUCAACUAGGGCAAGCAAUCCAGAGAUGGUAUGGUGGCUCCAUGACCACCGGGAACCCAAGCUUCUUUACCCUUGUACUUACACUCGUUAAAAUGCAUUCCCACUUAAUUGUCCAAGAGGAUUGCUCUCGCUCACCCUAUCAUAUCUGCAUUUCAGGCAGCAGGGAGGGAGAAAGAAGUUUAAGAGCCUGCUCUUUAAGGAGACCAUAUGUGACAUUUUGCUCACGUUCCUUUGUUCCCAAUCGCCACAUCCAUUUGAAGAUCAAGGUGUGAAAUGUAGUCUGUAUUCUGUACAGCUAUGUACUCAGCUAAAAAUGAUGGGAGUGGGGGUUGUUCGAGCCUAAGGAAGGAGGCAAGAAAGGACAUGGGAGGACAGUUAGCACUCUCAGUCACAUAACCCUAACUAUCUCUUCUCCCUCCUAUAAGCUCACGGUUUUCCUCUUCCUGACUUCUCAGGUCCCAACAUCACCCCCAUCCCUGGUGAUAAUCUUGGUGCUACUGCUGAUGUCAUUUUUUUGUCACUUUGCCCACUCCCCCUCCCUGGAUUAUUUUGCUUAGAGUACUUCCCUUAGCAUUAGUAACUUUACUUUUAAAAUUCUUUCUGGGACACCUGGUGGCUCAGGCGAUUAAGUGUCAUCCAACUCUUGAUUUCAGCUCAGGUCAUGAUCUCACAGUUUGUGAGGUUGAGUCUUGCAUCCGGCUCUGCACUGACAGUGCAGAGCCUGCUUGGGAUUCUCUCUCUCUGUCUCCCUCUCUCUGUCCCUCCCCCUACUCAAGCCCUCUCUCAGUCUCUCAAAUUAAAUAAAUAAGCUUUUAAAAAAACAAAACAAAAUACAAUUUUUUUCUCCAUCAGCUUAACCCUGACCAUCUGACCCUCCCCCUCUCAUCUUUUAGGACUCCUGAAAACGUAAUACACAAUCUGUGCCUCAGGCCAAACUUCUAUAAACCCUCUUGUAAAGUCACCUUGACCCGGUUUCUAGAUCCUUUUCCAGGAAGGGCUUCAGACUGUAUUGCCCUUCUCCUGACCCAUCAUUUUAUUUUGCCCUCUAAAAGCCCCUCUAAAAGUUCCUGACAACAUCUUCCUUGAAACUUCUUUCGACGAACCACAGCCCUUUGACACUUUGCACAAAGCUCCAACCAAUGUCCCUUCUGUGUCUUUCCAGGGCUACAAAUUAUUUUCUGUAGUAUAAACUGCAUCUCUUCUGAUUUGCAGCCAGUAUUCUUUCGGAGCCCUUUAGUCUGUGAGUUUUCCCCAACCAUCUUUUUCUCUUUGCAUUUUUUUUCCCUUUCACAUUAAAAACUGCUCAGGGAGUGGGGCCCUCUGACCUCAGAAAUAUACGAAAACAGAUACUUUAUUCAUGCAUUCUGUUGAUGAAGUUUCUCUCUUGGCUCCCUUUAGCCUGAGCAAGACUCAGCGAACAUCUUUCUGCAUCUUCUGGGACUGUCACGGCUCUUAUCUGCAACACUUUGGACUUCUCCAAACUUAAGGCUUUAAGAUGCAACUGUAGUCAAUCAACUUCCAUGCAACUCCCUAGAGAAAUGCCCUGGCUGUGCAAGCUCCCGCUGCCUAAAUAAGGUGAAGAUGCUUUUCCAAGGAAGUUGAGGAUUCUACCUCAGUGUAAUUCUGUGAGUGCAACAGGGCAAGGAAAGGAGACUCUUCUGGGCCUCCAGCAAUUACAAUAAUCUAGGUUAUGUUGCUGGAAACCCUCAACUCUUAGUGGCUUUAAACCAAAGAGGUCGAUUUCUUGUUCAUGCUACUUACCUCUUGUGGCAGGAGGAGGGGGGCUGGUGGAGAAGCUACCAUCGCAAAUACUGGUGGGUCCCCAUUCCAAACAGGAAAGAAAGCUCUGGAGCAUUUUGCAUCAGUAAUUCAAUACUCCAGCCUGGAAGAGACCCUUAUCACUUCUACUCAUUAGCUGGAACCACAUGGCCCUAUCCAACCACAAGGAGACCAGGAAGUGCAAUCCACCUUGUGCUUGAAAGGGCAGAGAACUGGAAAUCUUUAGAGAACAGCACUAAUCGUAUCUACAGAACCUAAGAAAAGUUGAGCCGAUUGUGAUAACUAACCUUCCUAGGCCACUGUUCGGCCCAGACUAACUUGAGGCAAUUGCAAUCCGGAUUUCUAAACCUUGUGUUUCAGUCAGAGGAAAGAACUUUCAACAUUUUGCUCCUAAUUACCCUGUAUCCCUCUCAAAUUGUUCCUACUUCGAGGUAAAAUGUUUUGAGAACCCUGGCGCAAAGUCCCAGGACUAUCUCCGCUUCCUCGCUAACAUCCUUGGCACUUGGGCUCUCCUUGAGCAUCCCCCCGACCCCCACCGCCAACCCAGCCUCCCCUGCCACCCUGAGAGCCGCUUGCAUGCAUCACUGUUUCAGUGGAUGGCAGCAAUACACAAGGGCACCUCAUUGUUGGAAAGGAACUGCCUUCUGCCUGCCAAGGACAAAUGCAGACACACAAAGCUGUAUCAAGCAAGACUUCACAUCAAAGGGAACCCUGCCUGGGCUUGCCAAGAGCAGGGCUGCUUCUGAGCCUCUCCCCUUAGCCUUGUUAGUAUUCUUAGGGCCCAAGGGGCCCCUGGUGCUCCUGGCAGGCCCCCUCAUUUACCCAGCACUCCUCUUCACUCUGACACCUGAAGCCCAGGCUCUCCCUGAAUUUGGCCUCGACCACUUGACAGAGCAGAAUGCCAAGUGUUUAACAACGUUGAGCGAUUAGGAAAGAAAAUUCAUGAGAAAUAUUUACUCUGUGAACUCCAUUUGAGUAGGAGAACAGAAUACUUCUUUGGUGCAACAACACAUAGAAAAUCAAAAAGUUCCUGCCUGAGGCCUCAGGGAAAAGAGCACCAGAAGGAAAGCUUACCUACUGACGAAGCAAGGAUGCUUUAGGAGCAGAGGUUGGGAACGCUGGAACCAAGGUUGAAAAUGGAGAUUGGCCAGUUGUAGGCAUUUAGACCUGGUGAGAAGUGGUGAACUAAAGAUCCAGACAAACUUUCUACCUUAAAAUCAACAUAAGAAUUCAGGUCCUGUUACUUUAAGGAAAAGAAAAGGUCUUUGUUUUAAAAGAACGAUGAGGGAAAAAUUGAAUAAGGGACUGAUAGCGACAGAGAAAGGGAUAAAAACUUUUAAUUUAGAAAACAGUUAAGGCCUUCUGUUCUGGGGGCUGAAGAACGCUUUUGGAAAGAGACAUUAAGUAUCAAAAUACAAUGGAAGUUUUAAAACACUGUAAAGUCACAUAUUAUGAGAGCUGGAAGGGGAACUUGGAGAUGGUCUUUUCCAAAUGAUUUCUUUGAGUUAAGAAAAUCUGAAACUCAGGGAUGUCAAGGGGCUUUUUCACAGUCACAUAGCUGGUUAGUUGCAAAGCUAUAGUCAGAGAUCUUGACUCUCAGGCUUGUAAGAGAGAGCAAUGCUUGGCAUGGCAUGUGAUCAGAGUACAUAGGUCUACAACUACAUCAGGUACAGUAUUUCUAACGCAGUGGCUUCAACCCUUUGACUAAGAACUUCCACUGUGGCCAACCCUACCACCCUGUUCCAACAGCUUCCCAGAAUAGUAGUAAUUAUAGCAAAAAAAAAAAUUAAAAAAUAAAAAAAAAUAAUGGAUAGAGCCCAGAGAAAAUGUCACAUUUCUAGAAGUGGGAGGAGGUGGAGAUAAUACAUUUACAUCAUUUCCAACUUUCAGAGCACUUCAUGUGACCAUGGGUCCAUGGAAAGAACUCAAGCAUUCCACGGUGGGGAAAAAAAGGUUACAUCUUUUAUUAACCUCCCACUGAAGGAAGCAUUUCCUUCAUUACAAAUGUAGGCAACAAACCACAACAGUAUUUGCACUACUUGUCUUUGUCACUCACAGAAGUAAUAAGUAUUCUCAUAUUAUAUUAAUUGUAGUGGAGAUCUUGAAAUAUCUUUACCCUCAUUACCACUCUGCAAUUAUGGUAGAUCUCCCACUAGAUCUUGUUAUUUAGUGUUUAAUAAGUGAGCACGUAUAUUACUAUGCCACAGAUUUUUAUAAAUAUUUUGAUAACAAAAUUUCAACAUCAGAUUCCUUUAUAAUUAUGUGUUUUAUUUUAUUCAGUUAAAGGUAUUAUUCUGAGAGGGCAUCUGUAGAUUUCACCUGGCUGUCAAAGGGGUAAUUGGCAUAAAGAUUAGCAACCCCUGACAUGUGAGGGGUAAACAAGUGUCAGGUUGCUGUUGGAUACCCAUGACACUUGGUCCCACAUCCCUGCUCCAUCGCCCUGUGGGCUCAGAGUGACAGGGAUGCUCACUUGUCAUUCUGGGUUGGAGAACUGCCAGUGCCUCCUGCCACAGCCCGUGUUUGUAAUUUCAGGGCACACCAGCCUUUGAAAGCUGGUAUGACUACAUUACAAAAUGUGACAGGAGAGACUCCAUUGUUGGCAUUAUUAUUAAAAUUAAGGCUGAUAGGGAUUUUGUGACAUUGAUUUUAAGAGGGUUGUGUUCACACGUCCCAUGGAAGUUGACUUUUCUCAGGGAAUUGGCACUCCAAGUUCUACUCAAAAGGAAACUAGUUUUUUCAAAGAUGGAUAAGCUGGUUUGGCAUGACAAAUAAAUACUUCAAGAGAAUAUCAAGGAACCAUUUUCCAUCUCUCAAAUAUGCAAAGAAUUUUUAAGAUGAUAAUUCUCAGGAUUGGCAGAGUGUAAUGAAAUGGGUAUUUUCGUUUUCGUAAAUUUCCCACAAGACCCAGAGUUGGCAUAACUUUUCUACAUGGUAGUUUAAGCCCUGUGUUUUAAGUAUUUUCACCCAGUAAUUUCACUUCUAGGAAUUUAUCCUAUGAAAAGAAUAUAAAGAUUUUCUUACAUAUAUUUUUAUGAAUAUCCUUGAGACAGUAAAAAAUCGGAAACAGGAAUGCCAACAAUGGGAGGUUGAAGUAAAUUAUGCUACAUCUACAUGACAACUUGUGACAACUUAAUGUAGCUAACUUAAAAAAAGAAAAAAAAAGUAGCCGUUCCGGGGCGCCUGGGUGGUUCAGUUGGUUAAGUGGCCGAUUCUGAUUUAGCUCAGGUCACGAUCUCACAGUUCAUGCAAUUGGGCCUGGCAUUGGGCUCUGUGCUGACAGUACAAGAAUCCCAAGCAGGCUUGGGAUUCUCUCCCUCCCUCGCUCUCUCCGCCCCUCCCCCGUUCUCCCUUUCAAGAUAAAUAACCAAACAUCUUUUAAAAAAACAAAAAUAGCCAUUCCAAGAAUAUGUGACGAUAUGGAAAAAUGUGUAAAUAUAAUGUUCGGCUUAAAAUGCAAGGCAUAAAACUGCAGGUGUAAGAUAAUCCUGUUUUUUAGUUGGAAAAACAUUCGUCGGAUUUCUUUGCAAUCUUACUUAUGUACAUAUGCCUGUAGAAUAUAUAGGUGUUUAGAAAAGCUAGCAGGGACUGUGUCUAAGUCUUAGUGUUGGCAGUCUUUGAAUAGCGAUAUUUUAAUUAUUUUUAUUUUCUUUUUAUACUUUUUUGUAUAAUGUAACAUUAGCUAAAGCUGUAAGAUAUUGUUUUUACAAGGACGUUUUGAAGAAGAUGAGCGGGUGCCACACGAGCUGAUCUGUGUUUGCAGUGCCUUCUUGUUGCUCCAGACAAAAGUUUGUUUUGCUGGUUGCUACUGAGUGUUAUUUUUCUCCUAACCUUUGCUCUCUUUCUCCACCAUUGGCUUCCAGAUGUCUGAUUGAACCAAGUUCGGGGCACUCGACUCAUGUCAUUCUUUCCUCUCGUUUGGACAGAAACUUCAGAAACGACACCCCGGCUGCCAAUCUGAUAGUCGGCACCCACAUGAAUGUCAAUCAGAAACCUCUUGGCAUAAUGAAAAAUAGUCCAAUCGGGAAUUUGAAGCUUUUGUAAACACAACAGAGGAUUGAGGUUAAAAUAGGGUGCGAAUCUGGGGAGGCAUCUGCCCCUCUGCUCUCUUCACCCUGGACUGCACCUGCGUAGCCGCACUUUGCGCUUGUCCAGGACCAGGAAGGGAGAUGAGAAAACAUCUUGUGGAAUCACUUCACCUUUCGCUGAUAUUUGGUUGAAAGGGAUACAGUUUUGACUUCCAGUGAUUAUUUAGCAUGUAGUAUAUAAAUCAGCUGGAAAAAAAAAUCUGGAGAGAUGAAGACGUGUUUUCUCCUGGUUUUACCUUGAAAGUGCGAAUUAUGAAGGUAGUUUUCCAUAUGUACAUGUUUAAGGUUCUACUAUUUUGUGGUGCCACUUAGAAUUUUGAAACCACUAGAGCCUAUUCCAUUCCUUCUCUCUUUCUUAAACUUGGAUCGAUCUUCUCCUGGGUGAAGUUUAAAAUAAUAAAAACCGAGAAAACCAUUUACUCAAUGCCUCCGGUUGCAUAGCAAUCUAAACAAACAAGCCCCUUUCCUCUGUUGAGAACUUCUAAUAAAACAAAUCACAAAG
rnacentral:lncRNA from 1 species